rnacentral:rRNA from 1 species
AUGGCGUCAGGAUGAACGCUAGCGACAGGCUUAACACAUGCAAGUCGAGGGGCAGCACGGGAGUAGCAAUACAACUGGUGGCGACCGGCGCACGGGUGAGUAACGCGUAUGCAGCCUACCUAUCAGAGGGGAAUAACCCGGCGAAAGUCGGACUAAUACCGCAUAAAACAGGGGCACCGCAUGGUGAUAUUUGUUAAAGAAAUUCGCUGAUAGAUGGGCAUGCGUUCCAUUAGGUAGUUGGUGAGGUAACGGCUCACCAAGCCGACGAUGGAUAGGGGAACUGAGAGGUUGGUCCCCCACACUGGUACUGAGACACGGACCAGACUCCUACGGGAGGCAGCAGUGAGGAAUAUUGGUCAAUGGGCGGGAGCCUGAACCAGCCAAAGUCGCGUGAAGGAAGAAGGAUCUAUGGUUCGUAAACUUCUUUUGCAGGGGAAUAAAGUGCGGGACGUGUCCUGUUUUGUAUGUACCCUGAGAAUAAGGAUCGGCUAACUCCGUGCCAGCCGCCGC